CCUAACCUUGACAUGUGGAAGACUGCCUUGUGUUUGUUUUUUUUGUUCCCUGGGUGUGGCUGCAGUUUUGGUUUUGGGCCCUUUUCCCUUUCUCUCGUAGACCUGCAGGUUGCCGGGAGGCGUGUCGGCUGCGAGGGGAGCUGAUUACACACACCUGCACAUGAUUUGCACUCCCUCGGGUUCCUGCCCUAUUUAAGCAGCGGCCUGACAUCCUGUCCUCGCCGGAUUGUUAAGUCGUUUCAGAUCUCUACCGGACCCGUCCGAGACCAACUCACCUUCCCCGCCUCCUGGAUCUCACUCUCCUGCCUUUUACCUGUUUGCCUCUCUGCCUGGACCCCAUCAGCUUCCUUCGCCUGCCUGCUCUGCCUGCUCUGCCUGCCCUGAUCCCCGCAGCCGCCACCAGCUCUUUAGUUCAAUAAAUCUCUGAGAACCA